GAUGAACGCUGGCGGCGUGCCUAAUACAUGCAAGUCGAGCGAACGGACGAGAAGCUUGCUUCUCUGAUGUUAGCGGCGGACGGGUGAGUAACACGUGGAUAACCUACCUAUAAGACUGGGAUAACUUCGGGAAACCGUAUCUAAUACCGGAUAAUAUUUUGUACCGCAUGGUUCAAAAGUGAAAGACGGUCUUGCUUUCUCUUAUAGAUGGAUCCGCGCUGCAUUAGCUAGUUGGUAAGGUAACGGCUUACCAAGGCAACGAUGCAUAGCCGACCUGAGAGGGGGAUCGGCAAAACGGGAACUGAGACACGGUCCAGACGCCUACGGGAGGCAGCAGGAGGGAAUCUUCCGCAAUGGGCGAAAGCCUGACGGAGCAAAGCCGCGUGAGUGAUGAAGGUCUUCGGAUCGUAAAACUCUGUUAUUAGGGAAGAACAUAUGUGUAAGUAACUGUGCACAUAUUGACGGUACCUAAUCAGAAAGCCACGGCUAACUACGUG
rnacentral:rRNA from 1 species